rnacentral:rRNA from 1 species
UGUCUUGUGGUGGGGAGUAGCCGGCUAACGCCCGGGUAAUACCGCAUACGGUCGCUUGGGGAGUCCCCGAGCGAAGAAACCUCCGGGGCACAGAGAGGGGCUCGCGGCCUAUCAGCUAGUUGGUGAGGUAAUGGCUCACCAAGGCGACGACGGGUAGCUGGUCUGAGAGGAUGGCCAGCCACAUUGGGACUGAGAUACGGCCCAG